rnacentral:rRNA from 1 species
AAUAGAUACCCCGGUAGUCCACGCCGUAAACGAUGAGUGCUAAGUGUUAGAGGGUUUCCGCCCUUUAGUGCUGCAGCUAACGCAUUAAGCACUCCGCCUGGGGAGUACGGCCGCAAGGCUGAAACUCAAAGGAAUUGACGGGGGCCCGCACAAGCGGUGGAGCAUGUGGUUUAAUUCGAAGCAACGCGAAGAACCUUACCAGAUCUUGACAUCCUCUGCCAACCCUAGAGAUAGGGCGUUCCCCUUCGGGGGACAGAGUGACAGGUGGUGCAUGGUUGUCGUCAGCUCGUGUCGUGAGAUGUUGGGUUAAGUCCCGCAACGAGCGCAACCCUUGAUCUUAGUUGCCAGCAUUCAGUUGGGCACUCUAAGGUGACUGCCGGUGACAAACCGGAGGAAGGUGGGGAUGACGUCAAAUCAUCAUGCCCCUUAUGACCUGGGCUACACACGUGCUACAAUGGAUGGUACAAAGAGCUGCGAACCCGCGAGGGUAAGCCAAUCUCAUAAAGCCAUUCUCAGUUCGGAUUGUAGG